UACGGGGGGGGCAAGCGUUGUUCGGAAUUACUGGGCGUAAAGGGCUCGUAGGCGGCCAACUAAGUCAGACGUGAAAUCCCUCGGCUUAACCGGGGAACUGCAUCUGAUACUGGAUGGCUUGAGAUUGGGAGAGGGAUGCGGAAUUCCAGGUGUAGCGGUGAAAUGCGUAGAUAUCUGGAGGAACACCGGUGGCGAAGGCGGCAUCCUGGACCAACACUGACACUGAUGAGCGAAAGCCAGGGGAGCAAACGGG
rnacentral:rRNA from 1 species